GGUUCCUCCACUAAAACAUUUUUUGUUCCAUGCCCAACCAAUCUUUUAUUUGAGAAGUUAUCUUGCCGUUAGGCACAUAGCCUCAGAGCAUCUAUUUAUGCAUAAAGUCCAGCAGUUACUCAGUGUGUAAACAUAGCAGUUGUGGGAUGACUUAUCACUCUUGUGAUCUCACUGAGUGAGACAUGAGUCGAAAGGUCAAAGCACAAUGAAUCAUCCACUCGACUGAAUUCGUGGAGAAACUUCAUUCCAGGUAUAGUGCUGCCGAGAGUACAUGAAGUCGUGUGCUGUAACUAAUACGAUGAACUUUUCACUUUGCCUCAUUGAAUGAAUCCACCAAAACAUCCAAAGAGAUUAGCAGCUGUUCCUUUUAGCUCUGAUGCCCAAUAAGAAAGGCAAGCCCUGAGGGACAAUUUGACGCUAAGGCUCAGCGAGUUAUUAGCGAGUAAGGGAUAGUGUGACCGAAACGCCAGAUGACGCUAUCUGUCUGUCCUCAGAGGAGUGUCCGUGGUCACAAUGAUCACCUUCUUCUAGAAGCUGCACUGGAGGUCCGAUGUUCGUCAUUCCCCGGACGAUAAUAAAGCUUCUUUUGUGAGAUGACCAUCGCUGAAACAAAUUAGGAGCAUCUCCGGCGAAAGGAUCAUAGAAACAGAACGGGCUGUGAAGUGAACUUGAAAAAAGUCUCCAUUGAUGUUUAAAGAUUCCUGGUGAUAGAAAUCUUUGAAUUCCAGAGACGAGAAGAGCUGCACAAACACACCUGUUCCACCUCGCCUCUGGAUCCUCUGAAGGACACGUCUUUGUCAGUCGCCUCCAUCAAAAUAUCCAGCUUCUGAAAAAGGUGGCUCCUGAGUUCGUACACUUCGAAAAGUCAAUUUUAACAAGUCAGUUUCUGUUUAGGAGUCUAUAAAUCCUAUUUUAUUAACAUAACUGGGAAGACAUCUGCCAAGGGUUGCAGAGUGAGGUGCAAGGGCGAGAAUAUGUUAUUGUUUUAAGACAAGAUGAAUGUUUUUUUGCAGUUGAAAAAGU